CAUAACUUCCUUUUACAUUAACAAGUGGUGCCAUGGAGACAGAAGCUAACUGACAGGAAACAUCUCCACUUACGUCUGAAGCCAUGUGGUGGGGCACCCUGGGGUCUGUUCGGCCUUUCCCAAAUUUCCGUCCCGAGAGAGAUGUUACAGUGCUUCACACUGCACUGGAGAAGAAAGAUGUGAGCACCAUUGUGAGAUUACUAACCAAUCGCAGUAAUGCUCAGAGACGAUCUCUUGCCCAGG